UACUGAGGGUGGAAGGGUUAGUCGGAAGUACUGGGCGUAAUGCGCGCGUAGGUGGUGGGUUAAGUUGGAUGUGAAAGCCCCGGGCUCAACCUGGGAACUGCAUCGAAAACUGGCCGACUAGAGUACAGUAGAGGGUGGUGGAAUUUCCUGUGUAGCGGUGAAAUGCGUAGAUAUAGGAAGGAACACCAGUGGCGAAGGCGACCACCUGGACUGAUACUGACACUGAGGUGCGAAAGCGUGGGGAGCAAACAGG
rnacentral:misc_RNA from 1 species